GGAUUGCAGGCUGCAACUCGCCUGCAUGAAGUCGGAAUUGCUAGUAAUCGCGGAUCAGCAUGCCGCGGUGAAUACGUUCCCGGGCCUUGUACACACCGCCCGUCACACCAUGAGAGCCGGUAACACCCGAAGUCAGAAGCCUAACCGCAAGGAGGGCGCUGCCGAAGGUGGGAUUGGUAAUUGGGGUGAAGUCGUAACAAGGUAUC
rnacentral:rRNA from 1 species